rnacentral:sRNA from 1 species
GCCGGGUACAGUGGUGUAUGCCUGUAAUCCCAGCGGCUCGGGAUGCUGAGGCAGGAGGAUCCUGAGUUCAGAGCCAUCCUCAGCAAAAGAGAGGCACUAAGCUACUCAGUGAGACCCUGUCUCUA